GCCCGGCUAGCUCAGUCGGUAGAGCACGAGACUCUUAUUCUCGGGGUCGUCGGUUGAAGCCCCACGUUCGGCG